AGCACCUAAUGGACCAAGACAAAUUCUAAAACCCACAGCAAGUAUAAACCAAAAUCCAAAAGCUCACAUCUUUAUGAAGAAAAGAAAGCCCAAUAGGCAUCAAACCAUUACUUUAGAUUACAUACAUCCAUAUCUACUUGUUUAUUGGAUCGUAGGGGAUAGGUAUACCAUUUCAGACAAACUGCAACACACCAAGUUCGAAUUUGCCGUUGUUUUCAGGCUCAGCCAGAGAUAUCAAUGGCCUUGACAUCAGGUUUCUUGACUUCCUCUUUAGGCACGGUCACUGUCAAGACUCCACUUUCCAUGCUUGCCUUAACCUGAUCAACCUUUGCAUUCUCUGGCAGCCUGAAUCUCCUCAAGAAUUUCCCACUUGACCUCUCAACUCUAUGCAAUUUAUCAUUCUUCUCUUCCUUCUCUUUGCUUCUCUCUCCACUUAUCUGCAAAACAUUACCUUCCUCUAUCUCCACUUUCACUUCCUCUUUCUUUAGCCCUGGAAGGUCAGCCUUGAAAACGUGAGCCUCCGGAGUCUCCUUCCAGUCUAUGCGUGUGUUGGCAAAAGCUGACGUUUCGUUUGCGAACUCGAAGCGAGGAGCCGAGAGAGCUGUGCUUGGGAAUGGGAAGUCAUGGAAGGGGUCCCAGACGUCGAGAGAGAAGGGGUCGAAGAUGUUUGUUCUACGGCCACCAAAGAGGCUGCUUGGAAUAAGAGACAUUUUCUUCCUUGGUUUUGAAACGGGAAUUGAUCAGAGAAGAAUUAACUGAGAUUUCUUAGUGAAGGCUUCUUGGUAUUUCUUUGCUUGGAAUGGGUUUUCUUGAUUUUAAGGGUUAAAGAAAGGAGGUAUUUAUAGGGUUUGUUUUCUUAACUGGGUUAUGAUGGAUUUAAAGCUUCUGGAGAUGGUGAGUUCGUUCUUGAUUCUUCAUGAAGAUGGA
rnacentral:misc_RNA from 1 species